rnacentral:lncRNA from 1 species
UCUCCGUAACAAAUGUGGAGGGAGAAGAAAUUAAUUAAAAUACAUCCUGUGCUACAGCCUCCAGAAACAGGCAAGUCUUGCAGAAUGCAGGCAGCGAAGUUAGAAUGAGAAUAGCCCACCAUGGCCCAGAGGCAGCAGCAGGGACCCUGAACCCCUCCUGGGCACAGGAAGGAGCAGGGACAGUGCGUCACCAGUGGUGCUUUCAGUGCCAUUUAACGUGACUUGUGCUUCCCAGGCCACCAAAGGCCCCCAGGCGGGAUCAGGCCAAGCCAGUCACCCUAGUCACCCCUGCUCUGCCUGGCCCGAGUGCUCCCGGCCUGCCCGGGCUGAGGCCUCGGGGGGCGGGAGUGCAGCAGCUGCACACGGGGCCGGGGUCCCGGGCCGGGCCGGUCCCCUCGGCCCCGCUCUGUCCCCUCGGCCCCGCUCUGUCCCCUCGGCCCCGCUCUGUCCCCUCAGUCCCGCUCUGUCCCCCUCAGCCCCGUUCUGUCCCCUCAGUCCCGCUCUGUCCCCUCAGUCCCGUUCUGUCCCCUCAGUCCCGCUCAGUCCCCUCAGUCCCGUUCUGUCCCCUCAGUCCCCCUCCGUCCCCUCAGUCCCGCUCUGUCCCCCUCGGUCCCGCUCCGUCCCCCUCUGUCCCCUCAGCCCCGCUCUGUCCCGCGGCCCCGGGCCCGGCUCGGCCGGGACUUGUUCCCGUCCCGACUUCUCGCGAGAGAACGCGCGGUGGCGUCACGCGCCGCGGAGGCCGCCCUCGCGCGCGCGCGCUCGUUCGCACGCCGCCGCCGUAUCCUUCCGCGCGCUCCCCCUCCCCCUUCUGGAGAGUUCUGCACGGCGGCCGGCACGACAAAUAGUCCCCGCGGCUCCCCGCCCUCUCCUCCCUCUCCCGCUCCUCCUCCUCCCGCCGCUCAGGUCCUGGCCUCUCCCUUCCUUCCCCUCCCCGCCACGGCGGCGUCUCCGCCCCGGGAACCGGAGCGGUGCCCGGGGGCAGCGGCGGCGGCGGCGGCGGGGCGGAGUGAUCCGCUGCGGAACGACGCGGAGGCAGCGCAUAAAGCGGCGGCGGCGGCGGAGGGAACGGAGGAGCUGCGGCAGCGCUGAGCCCGCGGCCGCCACCGCCCGACACCGGCCCGGCCC